ACUAAUGUAAAGCGGAGGCUCAAGGGUUGAUAAAUAAGAGAAAGAGAGAGGGAGAGAUUUUUUGACACCAAUAAAGGCUUGUCAACUGUGAGGUUGAGUCACAUGGCGGAGCAACACACCCUAUAGCUGCUCCUGCUCACAGCACUGUCAUGGGCAGCCACGCUUACAGCACUGUUAUGGCUAGCCAGACACUGCAGCCUCACCAGGCUCCACCACCCAACAUGAUUUCUCAGCGGGCUCACCAAACACUGUCCUUCCCCACCUUCUCAGCCCAGUACACCAAGGAGAUACAAGCCAACUUGUACCACCAACUUAACAACCCGGAGGGCAUCAUCAACUUUGGCCAAGCUAUCAAUCAGCUCAUGGAAGAGGAAGUGUUGGCUCGAAUAAACAUGCCAGACGCACUAACCCUGACAGCUCGUCAUCAGUACUACUCUGAUCCUUCUGGCAUACUUGAAUUACGGAAAGCCAUUGCAAACUUUCUUACUCGCCACCACAAACCAAGCAAAUCUAUUAAUCCUGAUAAUUUAGUAGUGAUGAAUGGGAUAACAGCGUGUUUGGAUGCACUCUCCCAUACACUGUGUGAUCCUAAUGAUGUGGUCAUUACUCCUACACCUGUUUAUGGUCGCAUCUAUACAGAUUUCUAUGAUCGUUCAGCAGCUACUGUGGUGCCACUUGUCUGCACACAAGAGGAUGACUUUGCCUUACACACAGAAGAAUUAAAAAAGCUCAUCAAGAAUGUAGAGAACAAGGGUCGGUGUGUUCGUGCAUGUGUGAUUUUGAAUCCCCAUAAUCCACUUGGUCAUAUUUACUCCUCUAGCCAAUUGAGAAACAUCAUGGAAAUAUGUGCACAGCAUGAAGUUCACGUGAUCAUUGAUGAGAUUUAUGCAUUUUCAAUACACGACAAAGAUCAAACUUUCAACAGUGUUCUGGGAUUCGAGUCUCUACCUGAUGCACAUCGAACACAUGUUGCUUGGGGAUUUAGUAAGGAUUUCUCGAUUCCUGGUUUUCGACUAGGUGUGAUCCACAGCUUGAACCCGUGGGUCUUGUCAUGUCUCCGAACAUUAUCUCACUACCACUCCUGUCCUCAACUUACUCAACAUGCUGCUGCUACUAUUAUUAAUGAUAUAGAGUGGUGUGAUGAUUUCUACAUUCCCACAAACCAACAGAGACUUUAUACAGCAUACCACAAGGCUCGACAGCGUCUACAGGCUAUGGGAGUAGUGACGAAGAAAGCUACGGCUGGUCUUUUUUUAUGGGCUAACAUGCAGGCUUUCCUCCAGCCUUGUACUAAGGAUCGUGAAAUGGCUCUGUUUAUGGCUUUGGUAAAGGGAGGCGUUUGCAUAUUACCAGGCCAGAAAAUGCACUGUGCCAACCCUGGCUGGUUUAGGAUAAUGUUUGCUGUGCCUGAAGAAACACUGGACAAAGUGCUAAACCUAAAAGGGCCAUACAGUACUGACCUGGGAAAUGAGAGGUGAUCAGGUUUGGUUUGAGGAAGGAGCCACCACCUCCAGUUUCUGUAUCAACAACCCUUUAGAAAGUACCAUAUUUCAAGGGUCUUUCAAGGAUGGAAGCUGUUUUAUCUGUAUGGAAGACUACUGAAUUCACUUCUUCAUAGUUGUCAGGUAGACAACCUUAAGUGUUAUGUUCACUGUCUUUGUAAUUACUGAGGUAUCUGUUUUAUGUGGAACUGUCAAUAGAACUCGACAAGAUGAAUAGGAGCCUCAGGAUUUUAUACUUGCCAGGGUGUUUGUAGAGACCCUGAUGCCAUUUUAUGUAAAUCUUAAUCUUCCUGUGGCUGAUCUUGUGCCAGUGAAGGGCUCUAAAUCCAAAGAAUUGAUUGCCUCUCAUUUCACUUGUUGAUUUAAUGCUCACCCCAUGAAGUAAAUGAUCUUGUAGGGAUACAAAUGUAGGGGAGCAUUUAACCCAUUGGGGGGGUCACAUGUUGGGGUAUUAUCAUAACCAAGUGCUAAACCCAUAAAGGUUAUACAGCAUUGCUCAUGCUUGGGUGUAUGAGAGGCAAUCAUUUUUAAUCUAAGGAUCAAGAACCCCUCACUAGCAUCAAGGAGUCAUCCUUAAGGGAAGUUUUUUUUUUUUUUUAAUGCACUCUUUCGGUCCUAUUAUAGUUUAUUUUGAGGGCUGGCAUUUUAUUUUUGUCCUGAGUGUUGUGUGACCCGUUAUUACUAUUGUAGUGCUAUGGUUUGUGUGUGUGUGUUUUAUAUAUGAUUUUUUUUUUCUGGUUAAGCACUAGAAACCUUUGUUCUAGCCCACUGCAGAUAUCUCUCAUUUCCCUUUCUCGGGAGGCUCUUAAACCUGUAGGCAAAUGUGGGGUGUAUAGCACCUGAGGAGUAGAAAGUAACCAGGUUUGAGUGUAAUAGGAAGGGGAGGAUAUAGAAAUUCCCUGAAUUAAAGCUUUUCAGUAUCAGGGAAUUUCUUGAGACUAGUUCAUGAAAGCCUAUGUAUCUCUUCCCUUCUAGAAAGUUUGUGUGGGGGGAGGGGGGUGUCCUGGUGCUUGGAAUUGAACCCGACCUUCCUUUGGAUUGAACCCUGCACACUCUUGUCCCCCCCCCCUUCCUCCUAACCUCAAUGUUCUUUUGGCACAUACCUCCCUGCAGCACUGUGACCCUUUUGGAUUUAGUGCUUAGUUUUAUUUUUAUUAUCAAAGGCCAGGCAGUUUUCCAUCUUCAAGUUAUGAUAAACAGUAUGGAGUGUGAAGUUUCUAAUUGUUAGGAAAAUAUUUUUGAAGAAUUGAGACACUUAUGCAACAUACGGGAAUCUCUAUUGAAGAAACUUUUCGCCACACAGUGGCUUCAUCGGUCUUAUACAAAGCAGGAAGGUAAAAGUAGAGUAGUAGUUUGAGGUAAUCAGUCCCUCAGCCUGGAGUCAGUGUGUUCAGUCCAUCAAUCUUGUAGAAAGUACAGCACAGGGCUGUAGCAGUGGCUUAUAUACUGUAGUCAGGUGAGGCGAAGCAGGGUCAUAGUGGAACCAUCCACUAGUCUAAUUAGGUCUUCGUCCAAAGAUUGGACAAGUUUUGAAGAAUUCUUUGUAUCAAGAUCCCAUGAUGAUGCAGUGUCUGACAGAUGUGAUGGAUGGUUUUGAAAACAGAAGUUGAAGAAUUGAGACACUUGUGCAGCAUAACGUGUUAAUUUACACGUUCACUCCACACAAGUGCUGAGGUCUGAAAACUGUCUCCAAGGUCUUAAUAUUGUUAACUAAUGUAUACCUGAAAAAACUUAGUGGUCUCUCAAAAUUCACUGGGGUUAUAUUUCUAGAUCUCAUCAAAUACCACUAAAUUGUCUGCCUACCUGAUUUUUUUUUUUUUAGCCUCGUCCAUCACGGGUGUUUUUGUAUAAAAAAUAAUAAAAAUAUUGUACUUCAUCUAUCUAAUCUUCACCAAGGUAGGUUAAGUAUGAAAAUUAUUAGUUUUAAAUAGUUCUGUAUGAUUCUAUGGAAAAAUUGUCCCUUGCCAGCUGUGGUGGUGGCAAGGGUACUAUCUGGGGUAGCCAAGGUGCUGGGCAAUGCGACUAAUGGCUGAGGUGCUAUCGUUUGUAAACUAGAUGUACCCUGCACUGCAAAAUAUUUAGUUUUCUUUCCAUGCAAAGACCCACAAAUCUGUAGGGAUGGCUGUAUAUGCACUCAAUAUUUUCUAAUGACCUUUAAAAAUUUCACACUUGAACAAAACGUAGUGCACUUCUAUUUUCUAGAGUUUAAUCACUAUAUAUUAAUUCUUUUUAUACAAGUAUUUCAGAGCUUACUUCUCUGAUGAUUUUGGUCUACUUACUGUAAUUAAUAAGAGUUUGUAAAUCCCUCUUACUGUCAAAAGAGGCCUUACCCUUAACAAAUCAGUGAAAUAAGUAACAGCUUUAGGGGAUAACUGUUCUAAUCACAAAAGAAUCUUUAAUUUACUGUUCAACUAAUUGCAAAAAAAUAAUUUAAGACUUAUCUAAAGUACAGUUUAACUUACUACAUAGACAGAUACUCACCAUUUUGAAGAGUAACUAAAGACAAAUUUUAAAUAAGAUCAAGUGCUUAAGAAAAACUAUUACUACAAAAACAGAUUCUGCAAGAUCCUGUAGAAGCAAAGACCCAAAGAAAUAAAUUUAAGUUAAACAGUACAGCCACUGGAAGUCUACACUACCCAAUUUCCAUAAAAAACAUUUGUCAUGACAAUUUUUUUUUACAAUCUUUUAUAAAGAUUCCAGCAUUAUACUUUAUGUAGUUUACCCCUUACUAGGACACCUAUUUAUAAUAAAAGUCUAAAUGCUAA